CAAAUGUGAAAAUAAAGAAAACUAAGUUUCAGUCAAGUGUAAAAAUGAAAAAAUCUGCUAAUGAACUAUUUAUGAAGGGAAGAUUUUCCUGGGUGACUACAAUGUCUGCAUUCUCACAGCUGAGUGCUGCUUUUACCACAAUAUGGACUCAAUGGGCAAGGCAACUUCUGCUUGUUGCAUAAGCUACAAAACAGCGUGGAGUUCAUAUACACAAAGAAUUUUGUAUAUGUCCAAGUUUCCAACAUGUUACCCUCAUUAAUGAAGAGAGGAAGAAAAAUGUUGGGGAGAGAAAUAGAAGACCCACCUUGUAAUGGAAUUCCAAAGAUAUUUAGAUCCUUUGCUAGAAAAAGUUUGCUUCUUGAAUUCUGCGAUGUUAUACUAUUUAGUUCAGAAGAAUGAAUUCCAGUUAGAUCUUCUUUGCAAAAGGCAGAUCCCAGGCCUCCUGAAUCCAGGACCUGAGACGUGGAAAAGGGAUGCUUUUCACAAGCUUGCCAGGGAUCUUUUGAAUUCCACCAAAUCUUAUUUUGCAAAGUUUCAAACAUAUUGAAAAUUUGUGCAACAAACCCAGAGUUUCUGAAGAUAAAUUCCACCAAUCUUGAAACAAA
rnacentral:lncRNA from 1 species